rnacentral:rRNA from 1 species
GAUUAACGCUGGCGGCGUGCCUAACACAUGCAAGUCGAACGAGGUAGCAAUACCUAGUGGCAGACGGGUGAGUAACGCGUGACCAACCUACCCUCGAGUGGGGAAUAACUAGCCGAAAGGUUAGCUAAUACCGCAUGAUACGUUCUGGGGCAUCCCGGAACGUUGAAAGGAGCAAUUCGCUCGGGGACGGGGUCGCGUCCGAUUAGCUUGUUGGUGGGGUAAUGGCCUACCAAGGCUCCGAUCGGUAGCUGGUUUGAGAGAGCGACCAGCCACACUG